UGGGUAACCUGCCCAAGAGACUGGGAUAACACCUGGAAACAGAUGCUAAUACCGGAUAACAACACUAGACGCAUGUCUAGAGUUUAAAAGAUGGUUCUGCUAUCACUCUUGGAUGGACCUGCGGUGCAUUAGCUAGUUGGUAAGGUAACGGCUUACCAAGGCAAUAAUGCAUAGCCGAGUUGAGAGACUGAUCGGCCACAUUGGGACUGAGACACGGCCCAAACUCCUACGGGAGGCAGCAGGC
rnacentral:rRNA from 1 species